UGGGGAAUAUUGCACAAUGGGGGGAAACCCCUGAUGCAGCGACGCCGCGUGAAGGAAGAAGUAUCUCGGUAUGUAAACUUCUAUCAGCAGGGAAGAUAGUGACGGUACCUGACUAAGAAGCCCCGGCUAACUACGUGCC
rnacentral:rRNA from 1 species